UUUUCCUACUUUAUCCAUCGGAUCAACUCGCCCAAAGUAGUGUGCGUCGGAAAAGGGCGAGGUAAUCCGAUUACUACUUUAUGAGAAAUACAGGCAUGGCUUGAUGCAAGAGCUAUAUAGCUGGAGUCAGGCCCCGCCCAAUCGUGCACAAUCUUUGAGAUACAGUACAUCUUUUUAUAAUACGUGUAGACUUCCAGCAUGGGUCAAGUUCAAAUUACAUGUACCAUAAGAUGUUGGAUCCCCGAGUUUUUCAAUUAUUGAAUCCGUCUUGCAAAGUUAGACUCUGAAUUGUGAGAUGACCCUUUCCUCUGUACUUGUUACUUUUGAGACAGUGACAGUUUGAUUUUUGUUAAAGCUGUUAUGUUUUUAGAAUUAAGAUUUUAUCAUAUCAAAUGCCCAUACUAGUUUAUCGUUUGUUAUAUUUGCUCAAACUUUGUAUUAUUUUAGAUGUCGUAGUACGUACAGGUAUAUCUUGCACAGGUACAAAUGAGGGUUUUAAUUCCCUAUGGUGCAAAAUAAAAACCAAAUAAAACCCAGAAGUUUGUUAUGAGAACUUACUCGUAAAUCUCUGAAAUAAAUGAAUAGUAGAUCUUU
rnacentral:sRNA from 1 species